CUGAGAGGAAAGGGAGCUUUCUGGAGGGCAGGAGACAGUACAGAGGAGAACAACGUGCUGUGGACAAGUCCUGAGUGGGGAAAGGAUGAGCAAACAUAGGCAUCAGGAGGGUGGGUGCAGUGUCCUGCCAAGAACUGCCAAGAGGAUCCCAGGCCAGAGCAGGCAGGGUCUCGCUAGGCUAGCCAAGGCUAGCCUGAAAGAUACCAUCCUUCAGGUGUGCCCAUCCAGCUGAGUUAAGGUGGAGAUCUCUCCAAACAGCUGAGUUUCUGAGGUUUGGACCCCACAGGGGAUCCCAAGGAACUUUGGGCUGGGUUUUAUAUGGCCCUGGAUGGAGGGCUACUUAACUGUGUCUAUAGUUACUCUGAUGACUGGGUCUAGGGAACUCAGGUCACUGUCUCCUCAGGUGAGUCCUGUGUCUGGGGACUGUGGAGUUCAGAUGGGCCAAGGCAGGCUGUAGUGAGAGUUUUAGUACAGGAACAGUGGCAGAACAGAGACUGUGCUACUACUGGUACUUUGACUUCUGGGGCCCAGGAACCAUGGUCACCGUGUCCUCAGAGAGUCAGUCCUCCCCAACUGUCUUCCCCCUCGUCUCCUGCGAGAGCCCCCUGUCUGAUGAGAAUUUGGUGGCCAUGGGCUGCCUGGCCCGGGACUUCCUGCCCAGCUCCAUUUCCUUCUCCUGGAACUACCAGAACAACACUGAAGUCAUGCAGGGUGUCAGAACCUUCCCAACACUGAGGACAGGGGACAAAUACACAGCUACCUCGCAGGUGUUACUGUCCGCCAAAAAUGUCCUUGAAGGUUCAGAUGAAUACUUGGUAUGCAAAAUCCACCAUGGCAACAAAAACAAAGAUCUGCAUGUGCCGAUUCCAGCUGUCGUUGAGAUGAACCCCAAUGUGAGUGUGUUCAUUCCACCACGUGAUGCCUUCUCUGGCCCUGCACCCCGCAAGUCCAGACUCAUCUGCGAGGCCACCAACUUCAGUCCCAAACAGAUCACAGUAUCCUGGCUACAGGAUGGGAAGCCUGUGAAAUCUGGCUUCACCACAGAGCCAGUGACUGUCGAGGCCAAAGGAUCCAGACCCCAAACCUACAAGGUCAUAAGCACACUGACCAUCACUGAAAGCGACUGGCUGAACCUGAAUGUGUUCACCUGCCGCGUGGAUCACAGGGGUCUCACCUUCUGGAAGAACGUGUCCUCCACAUGCGCUGCCAGUCCAUCUACAGACAUCCUAGCCUUCCCCAUCCCCCCCUCCUUUGCUGACAUCUUCCUCACCAAGUCUGCUAAGCUGUCCUGUCUGGUCACAAACCUGGCAACCUAUGACACCCUGAAUAUCUCCUGGUCUUCCAAAAGUGGUGAACCACUGGAGACCAACACUAAAAUCAUGGAAAGUCACCCCAAUGGCACCUUCAGUGCUGUGGGUGUGGCUAGUGUUUGUAUGGAAGACUGGGAUAACAGGAAGGAAUUUGUAUGCACUGUGACUCACAGGGACCUGCCUUCACCACAGAAAAAAUUCAUCUCAAAACCCAAUGAGGUGGCCAAACAUCCACCUGCUGUGUACCUGCUGCCGCCAGCCCGUGAACAACUGAUCCUGAGGGAGUCGGCCACAGUCACCUGCCUGGUGAAGGGUUUCUCUCCUGCAGACAUCUUUGUACAGUGGCUUCAGAGAGGGCAACCCUUGUCCUCAGACAAGUAUGUGACCAGUGCCCCAAUGCCAGAGCCUGGGGCUCCAGGCCUGUACUUCACCCACAGCAUCCUGACUGUGACAGAGGAGGAAUGGAACUCCGGAGAGACCUACACCUGUGUUGUAGGCCACGAGGCCCUGCCACACAUGGUGACCGAGAGGACCGUGGACAAGUCCACUGAGGGGGAGGUGAAUGCUGAGGAGGAAGGCUUUGAGAACCUAUGGACCACCGCCUCUACCUUCAUCGUCCUCUUCCUCUUGAGCCUCUUCUACAGCACCACUGUCACCCUGUUCAAGGUGAAAUGACUCUCAGCAUGGAAGGACAUCAGAGAGCAAGAGACCCUCCCACAGGGACACUACCUCUGGGCCUGGGGUUCCUGCCUGUAUGACUAGUAAACUUAUUCCCACAUCUUUCCUGUGUUGCCCUCCAGCUUUGAUCUCUGAGACGGGCUUCUUUCUAGACUGGCCAAAGACUUUGUCCACUUGUGCAACCUGGAACAAUGUCUGGAACCACAGACAGCUGUGCUGUAUACAAAUGUCACUUUGAAAUAAAUACUUCACCUUGCGAACCCA